AUUGAACGCUGGCGGCAGGCUUAACACAUGCAAGUCGAGCGGAAGAAGCCAGCUUGCUCCUGGAUUCAGCGGCGGACGGGUGAGUAAUGCGUAGGAAUCUGCCUCGGAGUGGGGGAUUACGUCCGGAAACGGGCGCUAAUACCGCAUACGUCCUGAGGGAGAGAGUGGGGGAUCUUCGGUCCUCACGCUAUCAGAUGAGCUUACGUCGGAUUAGCUAGUUGGUGGGGUAAAGGCCUACCAAGGCGACGAUCCGUAACUGGUCUGAGAGGAUGAUCAGUCACACUGGAACUGAGACACGGUCCAGACUCCUACGGGAGGCAGCAGUGGGGAAUAUUGGACAAUGGGCGAAAGCCUGAUCCAGCCAUGCCGCGUGUGUGAAGAAGGGCUUCGGAUUGUAAAGCACUUUAGGUUGGGAGGAAGCGCAGUAAGUUAAUACCUUGCUGUUUUGACGGUACCAACAGAAUAAGCACCGGCUAACUACGUG
rnacentral:rRNA from 1 species